rnacentral:rRNA from 1 species
ACCAGCUCUUCAAGUGGUCGGGAUAAUUAUUGGGCUUAAAGUGUCCGUAGCCGGUUUAGUAAGUUCCUGGUAAAAUCGGGUAGCUUAACUAUCUAUAUGCUAGGAAUACUGCUAUACUAGAGGGCGGGAGAGGUCUGAGGUACUACAGGGGUAGGGGUGAAAUCUUAUAAUCCUUGUAGGACCACCAGUGGCGAAGGCGUCAGACUGGAACGCGCCUGACGGUGAGGGACGAAAGCCAGGGGAGCGAACCGGAUUAGAUACCCGGGUAGUCCUGGCCGUAAACGAUGCAUACUAGGUGAUGGCACGGCCAUGAGCCGUGUCAGUGCCGUAGGGAAACCGUUAAGUGUGCCGCCUGGGAAGUACGGUCGCAAGGCUAAAACUUAAAGGAAUUGGCGGGGGAGCACCACGAAGGGGUGAAGCCUGCGGUUC